CGCUGCGGGAGCGGCUGCGGAGCCGAGCGGGGGGAAGGAGCCGCGCGUCCCCCGGCCGGGGCUGCGGCGGGGCGCGGGGCGCUGCGGCCCGGGAGCGCCUCCUUCGAAACUCGCGGAGCCGGGGAGCGAGGGGAGGCAGGGCGCACGGCAGCCACGCGUGUCGCGCCGCCCCGGGUGGCGGCGGCAGAGCCGAGGGCCGCCCCGGCAGCGGUCAGAGUAACAGCCAGCACCGGGAACACGCGUGGGGAAGGGGCGAGCCGCCAGCCCCAGCCCCAGCCCGCCGCUGCGCUUCCCUCUGCUUCCCGCCGAGCGGAGAGGGAAAGAAGGAGAGCAGGAGGCACUCACCGCUCCGACCGCACCAGCCGAGGGGCAGCGCGCCGCGCCGCGUUGUGCCGUGCCUCCCCGUGCGGUGCCCUGCCUCCCGCCCCGCCUGCCAGCCCGGGCGGCCGCGCUCGCUCCCGCGCCCCCUCCUCCCCUCUCCCCCGCCCGCUCCGCCCUUCCCCUCCCCGUCCCUCCCCUCCCGCCGCUCUGCGCACGCGCCGUUCCCNNNNNNNNNNNNNNNNNNNNNGGGGCGCCCAUUGUGACGCCGGCGGUGACCUCACGCGCCAGGGGCCGGCCCGCACCUGCCUCCCGCCGCGGGGGCGGGGCCUCCCCGGCCGCUUUCCCGCCGGCGCGCCGGGAGCGGGGGCUGGGGGCCGGGUGCGGGGUCCCCGCGGGGCAGGGCAGGGCAGGGCAGGGCAGGGCGCUCCGCCCGGCCUCGUGUCACCCGGAGCACCUGGCGCCGGCUCUGUCGGCUUUGCAGCUCCGCGGCAAUCCCGUGCCGCCGCCUCCCCCGGCGCUGCGGAGCGGGUCCCUUCGGGCACGGAGCGCACGCAGCGGGAUCUCGCACCAGGAAGUCUCCGGCGCGGCCUAGACCCCUCCGUGACAUUCCUUCCAGCCCAGUGCCAUCUAGUACAGCAUUUAAAUCUCCACGUGGGAACGAGGUCGUGUUUUCAAGGAGCAUCCCUGCAGGUAAGGAGCAACGUGCUGCCUCUCAGCACCCAGCUGAACCAAACCGAUCCCGUGGUGCCCACGGAUGGCUACGCGCCCUUACCCUGCUGGCUCACAGGAGGCUUUGAUUGCCCACAAGCCAGGGCCAGAGGACUGCUCGGGUAUUUAUUUCCCAGCUUUAUGUCCCACACAGACCCCACAGCACAGCGGAACUCACAGGCGUGUAACUCACAAUAA
rnacentral:lncRNA from 1 species